GUGGGGAAUAUUGGGCAAUGGGCGAAAGCCUGACCCAGCAACGCCGCGUGAAGGAAGAAGGUUUUCGGAUCGUAAACUUCUAUCCUUGGUGAAGAUAAUGACGGUAGCCAAGAAGGAAGCCCCGGCUAACUACGUGCCAGCAGCCGCGGUAAUACGUAGGGGGCAAGCGUUGUCCGGAAUGAUUGGGCGUAAAGGGCGCGUAGGCGGCCCGGUAAGUCUGAAGUGAAAGUCCUGCUUUUAAGGUGGGAAUUGCUUUGGAUACUGUCGGGCUUGAGUGCAGGAGAGGUAAGCGGAAUUCCCGGUGUAGCGGUGAAAUGCGUAGAGAUCGGGAGGAACACCAGUGGCGAAGGCGGCUUACUGGACUGUAACUGACGCUGAGGCGCGAAAGUCGGGGGAGCAAACAGGAUUAGAAACCCCUGUAGUCC
rnacentral:rRNA from 1 species